GUAGGUGGCAAGCGUUGUCCGGAAUUAUUGGGCGUAAAGCGCGCGCAGGUGGUUUCUUAAGUCUGAUGUGAAAGCCCACGGCUCAACCGUGGAGGGUCAUUGGAAACUGGGGAACUUGAGUGCAGAAGAGGAAAGUGGAAUUCCACGUGUAGCGGUGAAAUGCGUAGAGAUGUGGAGGAACACCAGUGGCGAAGGCGACUUUCUGGUCUGUAACUGACACUGAGGCGCGAAAGCGUGGGGGAGCGAACAGGAUUAGAUACCCUGGUAGUCCACGCCGUAAACGAUGAGUGCUAAGUGUUAGAGGGUUUCCGCCCCCUUUAGUGCUGCAGCAAACGCAUUAAGCACUCCGCCUGGGGAGUACGGUCGCAAGACUG
rnacentral:rRNA from 1 species